rnacentral:rRNA from 1 species
UACGUAGGGCGCAAGCGUUGUCCGGAAUUAUUGGGCGUAAAGAGCUCGUAGGUGGUUUGUUACGUCUGCUGUGAAAACCUAGGGCUUAACCCUGGGCCUGCAGUGGAUACGGGCAGACUAGAGGUAGGUAGGGGAGAAUGGAAUUCCCGGUGUAGCGGUGAAAUGCGCAGAUAUCGGGAGGAACACCAGAGGCGAAGGCGGCUAUCUGGGCUGCAACUGACGCUGAGGCGCGAAGGCUAGGGUAGCAAACAGG